AGUCUGACGAGGAUGAGAACCUCCGGGGGCAAGAGGUUCGACCCGAGCGAAGCGAGAAAACGUUGCGUCAGCAACGGCCCGCAGGGCGAGCCACGCAGUGGCGAGUCAUCCUCUAUCACCGACCA
rnacentral:sRNA from 1 species